ACGGGAGGCAGCAGUGGGGAAUAUUGGACAAUGGGGGAGACCCUGAUCCAGCCAUGCCGCGUGAGUGAUGAAGGCCUUCGGGUUGUAAAGCUCUUUUAUAUAGGGAGAUAAUGACGGUACUAUAUGAAUAAGCACCGGCUAACUUCGUGCCAGCAGCCGCGGUAAUACGAAGGGUGCAAGCGUUGUUCGGAAUUACUGGGUGUAAAGGGCGUGUAGGCGGACUAGAAAGUCAGUGGUGAAAUGCUUAGGCUCAACCUGAGAAGUGCCAUUGAAACUGAUGGUCUAGAGUGCAAGAGAGGAUAAUGGAAUAUCCAGUGUAGAGGUGAAAUUCGUAGAUAUUGGAUAGAACACCAGUGGCGAAAGCGGUUAUCUGGCUUGUGUCUGACGCUGAGGCGCGAGAGCGUGGGGAGCAAACAGGAUUAGAUACCCUGGUA
rnacentral:rRNA from 1 species